rnacentral:rRNA from 1 species
CAAAGGCCCCAAAGGAAGCCACGGCUAACUCUGUGCCAGCAGCCGCGGUAAUACAGAGGUGGCAAGCGUUGUUCGGUAUUAUUGGGCGUAAAGAGCACGUAGGUGGUUCUGUAGGUCAGAUGUGAAAGCCUUCUGUUCAAAGGAAGAACGGCAUCUGAAACUACAGAUCUUGAGUGUAGGAGGGGAGAGUGGAACUUCUGGUGGAGCGGUGAAAUGCGUAGAUAUCAGAAGGAACGUCGGCGACGAAAGCGACUCUCUGGCCUAUUACUGACACUGAGUGUGCGAAAGUUAGGGGAGCAAACGGGAUUAGAUACCCCGGUAGUCCUAACUGUAAA